UCACCUUGAGACAAAAGCAAUUGGCCCAGAUAGCUAGUUGUUUUCGCUAGUGCUGAGCCGCCAUUUCCUAACAGGGAAGGGAGACAUGUUGGAACAAACAAUAAAAGAGGAGCGGCCAUUUCCAGCACACCGAUUUUUUUUCGUGGCCUGGUGAUUUUUUUUGCACGUUAAAACUAGAGCAGUGAACACACAUUUUGUGAAAAUAUACAUGGCUCAUGAAGGAUUGGUCAUUCGAAUAAUAUUAACGUUAAAAGGGAAUUUUGUUUAGUGUCCGUCUUUAUUACGGGUCGCAGUCCGGAGUCUACCAUGACGGGUCGCAGUCCGGAAGCUACCACGACGGGUCACAGUCCGGAUCCGCCAGAGUCUCCCUCCUGUCCUGAGCCGCCAGCCAGCCAUGAGCCGCCAGAGCCGUCACCCAGCCAGGAGCCGCCAGAGCCAUCAGCCAGCCAGGAGCCUCCAGAGCCGUCAGCCAUAUUGGUGAAGUUAUUAGUUACACUUUGGAUGGUGUAGCAAUACACCCAGUCACUACAAAGAUACAGGUGUCCUUCCCAACUCAGUCGCCGGAGAGGAAGAAAACCGCACAGGGAUUUCACCAUGAGGCCAAUGGUGACUUUAAAACAGUUUUUGAGUUUAAUGGCUGUAAUAGGAGAAAACUGAGGAUGCAUCAACAACAUUUUAUUUACUCCACAAUACUAACCUAAAUGACAGAGUGAAAAGAAGGAAGCCUGUAUAUAAUAAAAGUAUUCAUAAAAAUGCAUUCUGUUUGCAAAAAGGAAUUCAAGUAAAACUGAAUAAAAAGCAUCAUGUUUGGGGAAAAUCCAAGACAACACAUCACUGAGUACCACUCUUCAUAUUUUCAAGCAUGGUAGUGGCUGCAUCAUCUUAUGGGUAUGCUUGUCAUUGGCAAGGAUAGGAAAUGGAAUAGAGCUAAGUACAGGCAAAAUCCUAGAGGAAAACCUGCUUGAGUCUGCUUUUCAACAGACACUGGUGGACAAAGUCACCUUUCAGCAGGACAAUAACCUAAAACACAAGGCCAAAAUUACACUGGAGUGGCUUACAAUAUCAAGACAACAUUGAAUGUUCCUGAGUGGCCAAGUUACAGUUUUGACAUAAAUUGGCUUGAAAAUCUAUAGCAAUACUUGGAAAUGGCUGUGAUCAACAACCAACUUGACAAAGCUUGAAGAAUAAAAAAUAAAUAAUAAUGUGCAAAUAUUGUACAAUCCUGGUGUGCAAAGCUCUUAUAGACUUACCCAGAAAGACUCACAGCUGUAAUCGCUGCCAAAGGUGAUUCUCACAUGUAUUUACUUAGGAGUGUAAAUAUUUAAUUAAAUGAGAUAUUUCUCUACUUAAUUUAGAUUUUUUUUUUUAAAUGUCUGAAAACAUGUUCUUGGACAUUUUUUGAUUUUCUUUCAAAAUUAUGUAGACAAAUAUCUAAUUUAAUUAAGUAUUUACACUCCUGGUAUUAUUAUUAUGGUGGUCUGCUUAAAACAUGUAGGUACUACAGACUGGUUCAAGGAGAGGAUGAAAAUGUCAGUGAAGACACUUGCCAGUUGGUCAGUGCAUGCUCUUGAGUACGCGUCCUGGUAAUCAGUUUGGCUUUGUGGCCUUGUGAAUGUUAACCUGUUUACAGGUCUUACUCACAUCGGCUACGGAGAGCGUGAUCACACAGUCGUUCGGAACAGCUGGUGCUCUCAUGCAUGGUUCAGUGUUGCUAGCCUCGUAGCAGCAUAGAAGGUAUUUAGCUUGUCUGGUAGACUCGCAUUCCUGGACAGCUCUCCGGCUGAGUUUCCCUUUAUAAUCCAUAAUAGCUUCUUAACUACUACAACAAUUGGAUACCACGAAAUUGGGGAGAAAAAAGGGGUAAAAAAAAAAAGAAAAAAAGAAAGCAGAGCAGUGCUUUAUUAUGGACAGACUUCUCCCCAUCCUAGCUACUGUUGUAUCAAUAUGCUUUGACCAUGACAGUGUGUGUGGAAUUGUUUUUUGUGUAGGGUGUUACGCUACAGGCUGGCUUGCGCUAGGUUUGUUUCAAACCUAGGUUUGUUUGUCUUGUUUAAUCCGAUUCAUGUUACCGUGGUUGUGCUUUGUGCUGCCUCGCCUGUGCCUUUGGGCCAGGGUGUAAAUUAAAGUUAUCCAGUUAUCACC